UUUUUGCAACUCAAAUCAGAUUAGGGUUUCACUCUCUCUCUCUCUUCCUACCAAUGGCACCUCAUUCCCAUUUUCCUCUUUAGAGCGAAAUUCCAAUCUUUUCUUCCCAAGAGCAGAACUUUUUUAUUCUAUUUUAUGCAAUGUCACUUUCUCUCUCUGAAUCUCUUUAUUUCCAAGUCAGAGAGCAUGAAACCAUGCCUAUAUUUUAAAAUUGAAUCUUAUGGCAGAGGAUCUUUUGGAGGAAAAGUUCUGAUUUCGCUCGAAAGAGGAGUGUAGAUCCGAGGUCUGCGACCUCCCUAGUUCAUUGCCCGCAAAAAGAGAAACAAAAAGUCUCAAUGCGAGACUCAACGCUGUCGCCACCACGAUCACCUGGAGUCUAUUAGCAUCAUGUUAUCCUCGGAUCGCUGCAUAUAAAUUGCAGCCCAAUAAAAAUUCAUCUGAACAAUACUAUAUUUCAUUUUGUUAAAUGUUCUGAUCUAUUGUGUAAUCUGGUAUCUAUUUAUAAUAUUUGGGAGUCGUCUUAAAAUUGAACGA